GCCAGGCGUGGUGGCGCGCGCCUGUAAUCCCAGCUACUCGGGAGGCUGAGGCAGGAGAAUCGCUUGAACCCGGGAGGUGGAGGUUACAGUGAGCCAAGAUUGCACCACUGCACUCCAGCCUGGGCAACAUAGCGAGACUCUGUCUCAA
rnacentral:SRP_RNA from 2 species